UACGAAGGGGGCUAGCGUUGCUCGGAAUCACUGGGCGUAAAGGGUGCGUAGGCGGGUCUUUAAGUCAGGGGUGAAAUCCUGGAGCUCAACUCCAGAACUGCCUUUGAUACUGAAGAUCUUGAGUUCGGGAGAGGUGAGUGGAACUGCGAGUGUAGAGGUGAAAUUCGUAGAUAUUCGGAAGAACACCAGUGGCGAAGGCGGCUCACUGGACUGGUAUUGACGCUGAUGUGCGAAAGCGUGGGGAGCAAACAGG
rnacentral:rRNA from 1 species